rnacentral:lncRNA from 1 species
AUGUAAGGCAGAAUAUAAGAAUUCUCAAGGAUACCAUCUCAUUAGAUACAAAAUCAUAUGUAUCAUAUCAUUCAAAACAUAUUUGAUUCAUAACAAAUGGAGCAUAGAGUAAUUGGAGCAUAUCAAUGGCAGAUAGGACAUUUCAAAACAUAUCAGUUCAUAGCAAAUGGAGCACAGAGUAAUUGGAGCAUAUCAAUGGCAGAUAGGACAUUUCAGAACAUAUCAGUUCAUAGCAAAUGGAGCACAGGGUAAUUGGAGCAUAUCAAUGGCAGAUAGGACAUUUCAGAACAUAUCAGUUCAUAGCAAAUGGAGCACAGAGUAAUUGGAGCAUAUCAAUGGCAGAUAUGACAUUUCAGAACAUAUCAGUUCAUAGCAAAUGGAGCACAGAGUAAUUGGAGCAUAUCAAUGGCGUAUGAAAUGUUCCGGAGCAUAUCAACGACAUAUGGAACAUUUUGAAACAUAUCAACAGUGGAUGAAACAAUUCAGAGCAUAUCAAUAACAAAUACCGUACAGAAGCUCAAACGUCGUCUUUGACGUUGCAAACAUAUCAAUCUUAUCCAAAGCAUGUAUAGAAACACAUAACUAAAGCUCUGGAUAUCAUAUCAAACAUACAAAAGGUGUAGUGGGAUCUCAGUCAGAAUGUGAUUCAUCCAUUUCUGAAUGACCACCUGACAAAAGUCUCCCACGUCUGGGAGCUCCAUCCACCCACGUCUUGGUGAAGUCAAAGGGGGCCGGUAGAGCAUCGCAGGCUCUAAGCACAUACCCUUUACCAUUUCUGGCAAAGGUCCAGAAUAACACCCUUUACCAUUUCUGGCAAAGGUCCAGACAAUCCCACAACACCAGAGUACAAGAGGGCAGUUUUAACAAUAAGUAGCACAUAUCGGAAGCACACGCGGAACAACAAAACAUACAUGUGCCUUUACGAGUCAAUACGAAGUAAGCAAUAAUCUUUCACAAUGAUAUUUGGAUUUUGAAAGGAAAUGGAAUAGGCACAUAUCGAAAGCAAAUGCGGAACAAUGGGAUACACAUGUGCCUAAAUGAGUUAAUACGAUAUAGCAUAAACGUUACACAAUAGAUUUCAAGAAUGCAAAUAACUUCAAGGACAAGAGCAUACAAGAAUUCAAAGCAGUAAUAUAAAGCUCAAUUGAAUAAGAAGGCUAAAAGAUAUCAAUUUCCAAAGGAAUGAAACCAGAAUAUGAGAAAUCGACCAAAGCUCGAUUUCUGGCAGAAUACAAGAGGCACAUUGAACAGAUGAUUCAAACUAUCAAUCGUGCUCCAAUUUACUCAGAAAUAAUCAUUGGAUUAUACUUUCAGAUAAGACAGGCUUCAUAUGAAUCGAACUGUCCAACAGUGACAGUUACAAAUAAUUUGGUAAACAAGGGUCGUAGAACAAAAUCUCUGUUGGCAGAAUUCAUAAUGUCAAAUUCAACAGAUAACUGGGCAGGUGUUUGGAUUCCAAAUCUUUCAAUCCAUAUAUCAAAAGAAAGAUCUAUGAGUCUAGUUUCCAAUGAAAUAAGCUUUGAAUAAAUCCAUGUUUGCAACAGGGACUUAUAAGCAGUUCAGUAUCAAAAGGUUAGAAAUUACGAUCCCUGUUUUACAGAAUCUGUAGGCUCAUUUGAAACAGAAGUUUGGGUAGACAAACUUACUCUGAAUUCUUAAAAUAAGCUAUCAAAACAAAGGUUUAUGAGACUAUAUUCUGAUCAAAUAAGUUUUGUCCAAAUCAGAUGUCAAUACAUGAAGUUAUAAUCAUAACAAGGUAGAAAGGUCAGAAUCUUGGAAGUUGCACAGAUUCGAAUCGUUACGUCUAAACUGGAGAUAUAUCAAGUGCAAGGCUAGAACAAUUCAAAGUUCCUCAUAUUCAAAGCAAAUGUAGAGAUAAAAUUGCAGUGAGGAAAGAUCAGGAUACUUACAAUAGGAAAGAUUAGAACAAUUACAGGAGAAACGAACAGGAAACUUGCAAUAGGAAAUAUUAGAACAAUAACAGGAGAAACGAUUGGGAAACUUGCAAUAGGAAAGAUUAGAACAAUAACAGGAGAAACGAUUGGGAAACUUGCCUUUCAAGGAUUUCGAUCCGAAGAUCCAAAGAAGGUGCCUGAUAGAACCCUUACAGAUUCUAAACUUGGGGUUGAUCUCUUUAGGGGAUCGGCCUCCUUGGAACUCUAUAGGGGUUCCUCCCUCCAAG